rnacentral:rRNA from 1 species
AACGAACGCUGGCGGCAUGCCUAACACAUGCAAGUCGAACGAGACCUUCGGGUCUAGUGGCGCACGGGUGCGUAACGCGUGGGAACCUGCCCUUAGGUUCGGAAUAACUCCCCGAAAGGGGUGCUAAUACCGGAUAAUGUCUUCGGACCAAAGAUUUAUCGCCUUUGGAUGGGCCCGCGUUGGAUUAGCUAGUUGGUAGGGUAAAAGCCUACCAAGGCGACGAUCCAUAGCUGGUCUGAGAGGAUGAUCAGCCACACUGGGACUGAGACACGGCCCAGACUCCUACGGGAGGCAGCAGUGGGGAAUAUUGGAAAAUGGGCGAAAGGCUGAUCCAGCAAUGCCGGGUGAGUGAUGAAGGUCUUAGGGUUGUAAAGCUCUUUUACCCGGGAUGAUAAUGACAGUACCGGGAGAAUAAGCUCCGGCUAACUCCGUG